ensembl:lncRNA
CUGAGAAUGUCCUGUGCGUCCUGCUUGUUGAAGAAAAAUUAUUUGUCUAAUCCGAGGUGAGUGAUCGCUGUCCUGAUAUCCAGAAGCUCUUUGUCUAAUCCGAGGUGAGUGAUCGCUGUCCUGAUAUCCAGAAGCUCUUUGUCUAAUCCGAGGUGAGUGAUCGCUGUCCUGAUAUCCAGAAGAUCUUUGUCUAAUCCGAGGUGAGUGAUCGCUGUCCUGAUAUCCAGAAGCUCUUAGUCUAAUCCGAGGUGAGUGAUCGCUGUCCUGAUAUCCAGAAGCUCUUUGUCUAAUCCGAGGUGAGUGAUCGCUGUCCUGAUAUCCAGAAGCUCUUUGUCUAAUCCGAGGUGAGUGAUCGCUGUCCUGAUAUCCAGAAGCUCUUAGUCUAAUCCAAGGUGAGCGAUCGCUGUCCUGAUAUCCAGAAGCUCUUUUUU